UCUUUGCUAGUAUAUCGGUUAGUACACGCGCCUGUCAUUCAUAGAUCGGUCGCGCGAAAGCUGGGUUCGACUCCCAGGCAGAGAG
rnacentral:tRNA from 1 species